GAUGAACGCUGGCGGCGUGCUUAACACAUGCAAGUCGAACGGAAAGGCCCAAGCUUGCUUGGGUACUCGAGUGGCGAACGGGUGAGUAACACGUGGGUGAUCUGCCCUGCACUUCGGGAUAAGCCUGGGAAACUGGGUCUAAUACCGGAUAGGACGAUGGUUUGGAUGCCAUUGUGGAAAGUUUUUUCGGUGUGGGAUGAGCUCGCGGCCUAUCAGCUUGUUGGUGGGGUAAUGGCCUACCAAGGCGUCGACGGGUAGCCGGCCUGAGAGGGUGUACGGCCACAUUGGGACUGAGAGACGGCCCAGACUCCUACGGGAGGCAGCAGUGGGGAAUAUUGCACAAUGGGCGCAAGCCUGAUGCAGCGACGCCGCGUGGGGGAUGACGGCCUUCGGGUUGUAAACUCCUUUCGCUAGGGACGAAGCGUUUUUGUGACGGUACCUGGAGAAGAAGCACCGGCUAACUACGU
rnacentral:rRNA from 1 species